rnacentral:rRNA from 2 species
CAAAAUGGUGCCGUAACUUCGGGAGAAGGCACGCUGACACGUAGGUGAAGUGAUUUACUCAUGGAGCUGAAGUCAGUCGAAGAUACCAGCUGGCUGCAACUGUUUAUUAAAAACACAGCACUGUGCAAACACGAAAGUGGACGUAUACGGUGUGACGCCUGCCCGGUGCCGGAAGGUUAAUUGAUGGGGUCAGCGCAAGCGAAGCUCCUGAUCGAAGCCCCGGUAAACGGCGGCCGUAACUAUAACGGUCCUAAGGUAGCGAAAUUCCUUGUCGGGUAAGUUCCGACCUGCACGAAUGGCGUAAUGAUGGCCAGGCUGUCUCCACCCGAGACUCAGUGAAAUUGAACUCGCUGUGAAGAUGCAGUGUACCCGCGGCAAGACGGAAAGACCCCGUGAACCUUUACUAUAGCUUGACACUGAACAUUGAGCCUUGAUGUGUAGGAUAGGUGGGAGGCUUUGAAGUGUGGACGCCAGUCUGCAUGGAGCCGACCUUGAAAUACCACCCUUUAAUGUUUGAUGUUCUAACGUGGACCCGUGAUCCGGGUUGCGGACAGUGUCUGGUGGGUAGUUUGACUGGGGCGGUCUCCUCCUAAAGAGUAACGGAGGAGCACGAAGGUUGGCUAAUCCUGGUCGGACAUCAGGAGGUUAGUGCAAUGGCAUAAGCCAGCUUGACUGCGAGCGUGACGGCGCGAGCAGGUGCGAAAGCAGGUCAUAGUGAUCCGGUGGUUCUGAAUGGAAGGGCCAUCGCUCAACGGAUAAAAGGUACUCCGGGGAUAACAGGCUGAUACCGCCCAAGAGUUCAUAUCGACGGCGGUGUUUGGCACCUCGAUGUCGGCUCAUCACAUCCUGGGGCUGAAGUAGGUCCCAAGGGUAUGGCUGUUCGCCAUUUAAAGUGGUACGCGAGCUGGGUUUAGAACGUCGUGAGACAGUUCGGUCCCUAUCUGCCGUGGGCGCUGGAGAACUGAGGGGGGCUGCUCCUAGUACGAGAGGACCGGAGUGGACGCAUCACUGGUGUUCGGGUUGUCAUGCCAAUGGCACUGCCCGGUAGCUAAAUGCGGAAGAGAUAAGUGCUGAAAGCAUCUAAGCACGAAACUUGCCCCGAGAUGAGUUCUCCCUGAGACUUUAGGUCUCCUGAAGGAACGUUGAAGACGACGACGUUGAUAGGCCGGGUGUGUAAGCGCAGCGAUGCGUUGAGCUAACCGGUACUAAUGAACCGUGAGGCUUAACCUUACA